CCCUUAGAUGUUCUGGGCUGCACGCGCGCUACACUGAAGCGUUCAACGAGUAUUUCACCUUGCCCGGGAGGGUUGGGUAAUCUUUUUAAAACGCUUCGUGAUGGGGAUAGAUUAUUGCAAUUAUUAAUCUUCAACGAGGAAUUCCUAGUAAGCGCGAGUCAUCAGCUCGUGCUGAUUACGUCCCUGCCCUUUGUACACACCGCCCGUCGCUCCUACCGAUUGUGUGAUCCGGUGAAUAAUUCGGACUGCAGCAGUGCUUGGUCCUCCGGGCUUUGCAGCGGAAAGUUUAGUGAACCUUAUCACUUAGAGGAAGGAGAANUCGUANCA
rnacentral:rRNA from 1 species